GAUGAACGCUGGCGGCGUGCCUAAUACAUGCAAGUCGAGCGAACGGACGAGAAGCUUGCUUCUCUGAUGUUAGCGGCGGACGGGUGAGUAACACGUGGAUAACCUACCUAUAAGACUGGGAUAACUUCGGGAAACCGGAGCUAAUACCGGAUAAUAUUUUGAACCGCAUGGUUCAAAAGUGAAAGACGGUCUUGCUGUCACUUAUAGAUGGAUCCGCGCUGCAUUAGCUAGUUGGUAAGGUAACGGCUUACCAAGGCAACGAUGCAUAGCCGACCUGAGAGGGGGAUGGGCCACACUGGAACUGAGACACGGUCCAGACUCCUACGGGAGGCAGCAGUAGGGAAUCUUCCGCAAGGGGCGAAAGCCUGACGGAGCAACGCCGCGUGAGUGAUGAAGGUCUUCGGAUCGUAAAACUCUGUUAUUAGGGAAGAACAAAUGUGUAAGUAACUGUGCACGUCUUGACGGUACCUAAUCAGAAGGCCACGGCUAACUACGUG
rnacentral:rRNA from 1 species